rnacentral:rRNA from 1 species
GACGAGCGCUGGCGGCGUGCUUAACACAUGCGAGUCGAACGAUGAGGCCUAGCUUGCUAGGUGGAUUAGUGGCGAACGGGUGAGUAAUACGUGAGUAACCUACCUUUAACUCUGGGAUAAGCCUGGGAAACUGGGUCUAAUACCGGAUACGACCAAUCUCCGCAUGGGGUGUUGGUGGAAAGCGUUAUGUAGUGGUUAUAGAUGGGCUCACGGCCUAUCAGCUUGUUGGUGAGGUAACGGCUCACCAAGGCGACGACGGGUAGCCGGCCUGAGAGGGUGACCGGCCACACUGGGACUGAGACACGGCCCAGACUCCUACGGGAGGCAGCAGUGGGGAAUAUUGCACAAUGGGCGCAAGCCUGAUGCAGCGACGCCGCGUGAGGGAUGACGGCCUUCGGGUUGUAAACCUCUGUUAGCAGGGAAGAAGAGAGAUUGACGGUACCUGCAGAGAAAGCGCCGGCUAACUACGUGCCAGCAGCCGCGGUAAUACGUAGGGCGCGAGCGUUGUCCGGAAUUAUUGGGCGUAAAGAGCUUGUAGGCGGUUUGUCGCGUCUGCUGUGAAGGCCGGAGCUUAACUCCGUGUAUUGCAGUGGGUACGGGCAGACUAGAGUGCAGUAGGGGAGACUGGAAUUCCUGGUGUAGCGGUGGAAUGCGCAGAUAUCAGGAGGAACACCGAUGGCGAAGGCAGGUCUCUGGGCUGUAACUGACGCUGAGAAGCGAAAGCAUGGGGAGCGAACAGGAUUAGAUACCCUGGUAGUCCAUGCCGUAAACGUUGGGCACUAGGUGUGGGGAACAUUCCACGUUUUCCGCGCCGUAGCUAACGCAUUAAGUGCCCCGCCUGGGGAGUACGGCCGCAGGGCUAAAACUCAAAGAAAUUGACGGGGGCCCGCACAAGCGGCGGAGCAUGCGGAUUAAUUCGAUGCAACGCGAAGAACCUUACCAAGGCUUGACAUAUACUGGACCGCAUCAGAGAUGGUGUUUCCCUUCGGGGCUGGUAUACAGGUGGUGCAUGGUUGUCGUCAGCUCGUGUCGUGAGAUGUUGGGUUAAGUCCCGCAACGAGCGCAACCCUCGUUCUAUGUUGCCAGCACGUUAUGGUGGGGACUCAUAGGAGACUGCCGGGGUCAACUCGGAGGAAGGUGGGGAUGACGUCAAAUCAUCAUGCCCCUUAUGUCUUGGGCUUCACGCAUGCUACAAUGGCCGGUACAGAGGGUUGCGAUACUGUGAGGUGGAGCUAAUCCCUAAAAGCCGGUCUCAGUUCGGAUUGGGGUCUGCAACUCGACCCCAUGAAGUCGGAGUCGCUAGUAAUCGCAGAUCAGCAACGCUGCGGUGAAUACGUUCCCGGGCCU